UACAGAGGGUGCGAGCGUUGUUCGGAAUUAUUGGGCGGAAAGGGCGCGUAGGCGGUGCGGUAAGUCACCUGUGAAAUCUCCUGGCUCAACUGGGAGCUUGCAGGCGAAACUGCCGUGCUGGAGUGUGGGAGAGGUGCGUGGAAUUCCUGGUGUAGCGGUGAAAUGCGUAGAUAUCAGGAGGAACACCUGUGGCGAAAGCGGCGCACUGGACCACAACUGACGCUGAGGCGCGAAAGCUAGGGGAGCAAACAGG
rnacentral:rRNA from 1 species